rnacentral:piRNA from 1 species
UCAUUCUUUAUAGUUUUUGGG